GCCUUUUCCUCCGUGCUGCUGGUGCUGCUGAGAUUCAUGGCUCGGGGUGGAGGAGCGGGAUGGCUGCGCAGCUGCAAGGAGGACGCCCGCAUGAGGCCUUGCGCCCCGACCCUCGGCUGGAGAAUGCCAGAGGCUAAGAGACAUCAACAGGUGAUUUGUGCCCCCUCUUGUCGGCAAAGGAGCGAACAGCCUGACGUUUGAAGUCUGGUGAAGCUGUGGAGGAUUUUAAUUAUGGCACCUGUGACUGGACUGCACUAGCCCCAUCUUCGGUGAGUUUCUUGCCUCUGAAAUUAUUUUUGUGGAAGGGAAGGGAGAGGUCUGGAGUUUUGCUGAUUAAUUAGCACUUCAAAAUAGGUGGGGAGAGGGGAUGCUCCUUCAAGUAUACAUGACGAAGUUAUUUUUGUGUCCCUUAACUACAGAAUCAGAAUUAAAGGGCCUGGGGACAUGUCAGAAGUGUAUGCAUAUUAAUGAAAACUCACCAUUUAAUAUUUGCUAGGCUUAGAGAUGGAAUUUCGCUAAGACAAAUCAACUUCAUUUGCCUUGUAGCCACCAGAGCACAACUUUUUGCCUUUGAAAUAACUGAGGACUGAGGCAGCUAUAGCAGUUCCCAGAAGGCUGAGACAGGUAGUAGAACAUACACAUAAGUAGACAAGAAUGCCACCCUGAGUCAUGGGAUGGACAUCUACACUAAGAUACCCGUACCUGUCUACUUAAUGCUUUCCUGUGUUUCUGGCAAUGAAGCUUCCUCAUACUCAGGUACUCUGAAUACACAGUGCAGGGGUUAGAAGUAGUCCCUCUUAACAAGUGUUCCUCAUUUGGUAAGUCUGACCUGUGAGUCUGCAAAAUAUUCCAUGGGGAUAACAUUUACCCUUGAACCUGUCACGGUCUAAUGAAGGAAACCCAGCCCACAUCAGAGAAGCUGAUGUCAGAACAUUAACACGACCAGGCUUUCUUCAAUGACUACUUGUCUGCUCGUAGCCAUGUUAUUAUCUGAGAGCUAAUAAGAGAGGUAGAGUGGCUUCCACUUUAUAGCAAUGGACAACAGCUUAUGAUUGGUUUUGCUGAGAGGAUAAAUCAACCAUAUCAUGCUAUUAGAAGAAACUGAGUGCAAUGAGAAACAAGUUAAUUCGAUCAGGUGGAGGGGCCCGUCAUUUACCAGCCUUUUAAGAAUGCCUCACACAUCUUCACGUGUUUUGAGUGAGACAUGUCCUUGGACACACACACUGGACAUGAUUGCUGAAACCAGGUCAGUAGAAACCAUUGAAGUUUAUUGGCGGUCACAAUGCUUACACUGUAUGCAGCAAACACCCUUACAAGUCUAUCCGCAACCUGAUCACGCAAGAAAGGAUUCAUCACACAGUCGCCAGAGGAGAAGGGAAAAAAAUUAACAGGCUUGUUUCUGGGGGUAGAGGAGAGAAAUAAAAAUAAAACCUAAUUGAUGAGUGUCCCGUGGGCAAGAGCUGAACUAGAGAUGUGUACAACUAGCAGCAACAAUUGUGGAAAAAGUACAAGGCAAAUAGCUUUCUCCAUUAAUUUUCCUCUGUAGGUUAAUUUUUUUUAAUAUUCAAAACAUUUAUUAUGGUUUUCAUUUUAUAAAAAUGUAUAUUUUUAAGGGGUGGGAGAAUGUUAAAUACUUCAUGCUAGGUAGACCUUGUUAUUAAGAACCCCUCCACUGUAGUAACUUCCUCCAGUUCAUACAUUCAUGAGUGCAGGGUACAUAUAUAAAUAUCCACACGCACACAUCCACACACACUGCCUCGAGGGCUGGGGAAGACUGAAAUUUAUUGGCCACACACAGCAGGGCCUCCGGUGGACUCACCCACAUUGCUCCAUAGAAGAGCAGUGGGCUCACUUCCUUCUCUCUGUUCUCUACCUUCACAGAGACCAAGAACCCUACAACAUGUCGUUAAAUCCAACUUUUAAAAGCAAGAGGCAUCUGUCUGAGGAUGAGGGUAAGCAAAGUGGGAAAGAGGAUGGAGUUAAGAACACCAAACACUUUUAGCUGGAGUUAUUUGUCACUGCAAGGGGCCAGGGACUCAGGGCAGAACCUAUACGGUCCAAGGGGAGGGACAGUGUUCUGGCAUGGCUUAGAGUUCCUAAUAACAAGGGUUAAUACAGUAACAGGAAGUGAUUACUUCUGGGUGAGGACAGGGCAAUACGAAAAAAUAUACAUUUGGAAUUUUAGCUUUUUUUUCUUUUCUUUUGCCUCUCUACUGUGUCACUAAAUAUAUCUCUGCACUCUCACACAUCCUUGUCCAGUAAAGCUUCAGGCCACCAGAAUACACAUUUUCUUCACUCGCAUACACAACCCCUCACAUCAGCAUUGGUGCACUAGACUCUGUAAAAAUUUUUCAGUCACACUUUUUGUUUUUAAACUUGAGUCAAUAUAAACCUUGUUCAAAAUGUUAUGAAAAAAUGUACAUGUUUAUACAAGGCAGGUUGUGGCAGGACACUAGGGGUUCUCCCCACUUGGGUGGCCCCAGGAGGAGGGGCUGGAGUCUCAGUUUGUGUUUCUUAUCUCCUCCCACCACCCUUCCCACCCAGUCCCCCAGGAACCAGCAUCGCCCUGCCCCCCCAAUGAGUGCACUCACACCCCUAUUCCCUGGGGAAGUAGCUAGUUGACUUUUGCCAUUUUCCCCACACCCCUGGAGGAAGGAGCCAGGAUCAGCCAGGCCCUCUCCCUUGCAAUUGUUCGCCCCUCUGGGCCAAACCAAAGGGACGCUGCUCUGUACAGGUAGAGUCCAAGGAGGUGUCAGCUCAUCAUGUCAUUGCUAUUCACGCCGUAAGUGGAAUUCUUCAUCGAGUCAUUGACUUCUCGACGGAAUGCUGACAGGUUCUGGGUGAACCUGCAGAGAGGAUGCAUGUGGGUUGGCGGAGGAGGGUGUGAGGGAAACGUAUUUGCCUAGAAUUUUUUUUUUUUAACACAGGAAGUAGAAUGCAUGAAUUGAUGGGUUCUGUUUCAAAGAUCAGUUAAUCUCAGUCUUAGGACUCUAAGGGAAAGUUGGCCUAGAGAUCUGGUGAAGUCUGGAGCCCUGAGGGCUACCUUGGGCUCAUGGCAACAGAAAAGAAAUUUCACUGACAGAGGUAAGAAGUUACCCUCACAAAGUGAGGCAGUAAGUGAACGACACCGUUUCAUUUCUUAAUGCAGCAAAACCCGUUGGUGUAGUGCCAUGCUGUCCAAUAGGGUGGCUGCCAACCACACAUGGCUAUUGAGUACCUAAAUUAGGGCCAGUGUGACUGAGGAAAUGAUUCCAAAUUGAAUACAGUUAACAUUCAGCUCCUCAACUGCAUCUUAAUUUUAAAUUAAAAUGCCUUAAAUUAAAAUAAAAUUUAAAAAUUGUCAAGCCUAGAUAAUGCAGUUACUGAAAAAUCCCUAGCUGUUUAAAACAAUCUGGGUAUUGGAAUCUACUUUGUCAAUUGUAAAUUUAUGAAAUCUAAAUACAAAUCAAGUAUUUCUGAUGAAAAUGUAUGAAUUAGGCUGGGCGUGGUGGCUCACGCCUGUAAUCCCAGCACUUUGGGAGGCCAAGCCGGGUGGAUCACGAGGUCAAGUGAUGAGACCACCCUGGCCAUGGUGGAACUCGCCUCUACUAAAAAUACAAAAAAAUUAGCUGAGCGUGGUGGCACGCGCCUGUGGUCCCAGCUAUUCAGGAAGCUGAGGUGGAAGAAUUGCUUGAACCCAGCAGGCAGAGGUUGCAGUGAGCUGAGAUUGGGCCACUGCACUCCAGCCUGGUGAUUGAGCAAGACUCUGUCUCAAAAAAAAAAAAAAAAAGUAUGAAAAAGGUAGUACAAUAAAAAGAAUGUGAAAACCCACAAUUUAAAAAUACUAAUUACACAUUGAUACAAUAUUUUGGAUACACUGGGUUAAACAAAGUAUAUUAUUAAAAUGAAUUUUGCCUGUUUAACAUGGCUCGCUUUUCUAUUGGAUAGCACUGCUUUAGAUGGCCUCCAAACACAGAUAAAGACUUUAAGGGAACUUCCUGUUUUGUUGAUGUGGUUAUAAAUAACAACUGUCUGAGAUUUCUAGGCAGGACACUCUAUACUCACCUGUCUCUGUUUUUCGUAAGAAGAUUUCGUUCGAUGCCUUCCAUCAAGUUCUCAAAACACAGAUGCAUGGCCUGCUGUUUCUCUGGUGGCUGGCUGUUCACAAUACUGUUCCUUAGGUCAGAAAAAUACUGUGGGGCAAGGAGUGGAACAGAAGGUAAGAGACGCAGGGAAAGGCAGAUUAACCCUCCAUCACUGUCAGGGAUGAGAAAUGUUCUUCUCUAAGGAGUAAUGGAGUAUCUACUAAAACUGGACACUUAAAAAACUUCAGGCAAGUCCUUCCAGGAUAAUAUGUCUUCAUCUUACUAAAAAAUCAAGAAUUUUUAAUUUGUAAAGCACUUUAAAAGGGUCAUGUAACCAGCCCUUUCUUUUAUAGGAAUCUUAAGACUUGUUUGUGGUAGAGCUAGAAAUGGAACAGGUCUUAGGCCCUCUGAUACGCAAGUACCUUACUUCCUUAAAAGGUUUCUCUUACUGCCUUGGGGGGAAACACUCCUUUACCCUGUGUCUGUGAGCUACCACACAUGCUGACUUCUAACAAUUAAGUGACUGUGUGAUACUGAAAACACGAAUGGGACAUGCUCAGUAAAUGACCCAUUUUCCCUGUUUCACCAUCCUGGAGUGUUUCUAUACCCAUUUCUCUCCGUGCCUGGUGAUAGCAAGUGUGUGGUCUUCUGGGUUGGCACCAAGGAGUUCGCGCUCUCACCUUUUCAUUAAGUAAUAUCAAGCCAAGUAGGGGUCGGGACAUAGACCACUGGUUCCUACAGUCUUCAAAGAUGAUGAUGUUCAGCACCGUGGACAGCAUCUGAAAACGGAGGAUUUGAGGCAGUGACCUAUGUACAGCUACCCAAGAUAAAACGACAGAUUCCAAAAUACAGGAUUAUAUUAGACUGAAGGCCUUUUCGGUGUAGGGUAAGUCUGACAAAUAGUUUGUGAAGCUUCAUCUGAGUCUUCUAUUUCAAGAUAACCUUUUCUUCUAAGAUAUUCAUUUCCUUUCCUGUUCUUAAAAUUGGUUUGAUAAUUUCACUUACAAAUGGAUCUUUCCAGUUCACCCUGACUUGUGGGGAAUGGGAUGGGGUCACAUAAACAAAAUUACACUAGGCAAAACCAACCUGCAUGAUCCCUUCCAGGUACCUGGAGUUGAUAGUUUAAUGAUAGUUUGUGGAUAAAUAAUGAUAUUUCACUGCCCCUCACUUUUUUUUUUUUUUUUAAGAUGGAGCCUCACUCUGUUGCCCAGGCUGGAGUGCAGUGGUGCAAUUUUGGCUCACUGCAACUUCUGUCUCCUGGGUUCCAGCAAUUCUCUCGCCUCAGCCUCCUGAAUAGCUGACGUUACAGGCCCGUGCCACCAUGCUCAGCUUAUUUUUUAUAUUUUUAGUAGAGAUGGGGCUUCACUGUGUUAGGAUAAUCUUGAUCUGCUGACCUCGUGAUCCACCCAUCUUGGCCUCCCAAAAUACUGGGAUUACACACCUGGCUAUGUCACUGCUUCUUUAGAGAACAGUGUGGACAAAGAUUUUCUAUAUCCAGGGAUUGAUUACUUGGCAAACUCAAACUCCACUGCAACUUGAAGAAACAAACUUCAUCUCAGCAGCAGGAACCUGAUGAGAUGUUAGGUUAAUCAUGUGUGGCCUCCCCUGUCUUGCAGAGGUCCUUCCUCUGUCGGACACUCCAUCACUGCCUCCUAAGCCUCCACUUUCUUACCUGCUGGAUCAUCUCUGGAUGCUGCUGCAUGAUGUGCAGAAAGCGGUCGCUCUCCUGGUUCAGGGGUGUGGUCCUCUUCUUGGUGCUACGUGACAGCUGCUUGAAGAGGUAUGUCACUAUGUGGUCCAGGCAGGAGCAGCAGCCUGUGCAUACCAUGGUGUCUGCAAGAAAGAAAGGUAGGAGUAGGACAGCUGCUGCAGAUGACCUGGGCAAAUAUGGACUAUCUUUGGCUGAGAUCCACUAGGGUCCAGUGGCCAAUUCAGCCAAGGCCAUUGGUCAAGACUCCUUGUUAACCUCUUAUCCUCAUUGUAUAGCUGGGCUCAAUUUCCAAGUUUGAAAGUGAGUAUUGGUAAUAUAUAUAAAUAAAGAAUACCGAAAUUACUGU